UUCCAGGGCUCUUCUUACUUUAAAAAAAAAAACAAAAAAAAAACAGGGCGUGAGGAGCUGCCAUAGGUUAUCUGCAUAAGAGGAGGGGCUUACAGCGCUAGGACGCCGAUUGGCUGCAGAGGCGGGCCCCUCGGCGUCGGCCGUUGAGACGUGUAGAGGGGGCGGGAAUGUGGCGCCUGUCGACCAGGCGGUUGGGGUGCAGAAUUUGCACGGGGGAAGGGGGUGAGGCGGAGCGUGCGCCGUGCGUUCGUGGAAAAAUGGAAGCAGAGAGACGUAGGGACGCCGAGAGUGGAAGGAAACGAUACAGGUCAGACCUACUACCAGUUCAGCAACUGUGUUUUGAAGGCAGCAGAGAUAUGCACGGAAUAUUAUAGAAGUAGGGGAACAAAAUGAGACCUUGCCUGGGAAGGUUCAGAAAUGCUUCUAGAAAAACGUGACUCUUAUUAAGAGAUAUGAAGAACUAGUUAGGAUUUAGUCAGGUUUGAGGGGAGGGUACAUAUCUCAGGCCCAAUAAACUGAUGAGUGGAGGCAUGGGUUUGGGGAUCUGUACCUAGGCUGGUGUGGUAAAUUAAGGAACUGCGUAUGAUGGAAAAUGAGAGCAGAAAAAUUAGCAAGAUCCAGAGGCCCAUUAAGAUAGCUGAGAUGAACUCGACCAAAAAAAAAAAAAUCCAAUUAAAAAAUGGGCAGAAGACCUGAUUAGAUAAUUCUCCAAAGAGGAAAUA